CACGCCCUAAACGAUGAUCUCUCGCUUUCCGGAGUAUCGACCCUCUGGGAGGCUUAGCUAACGCGGUAAGAGAUCCGCCUGGGGAGUACGGCCGCAAGGCUAAAACUCAAAGGAAUAGACGGGGACUUGCACAAGCGGUGGAUGAUGUGGUUUAAUUCGAUGGUACACGAAAAACCUUACCAAGACUAGAAAUUCUAUAGAAAGGCUAAGGAAACUUAGCAACUCCGCAAGGACUGUAGAACAGGUGA
rnacentral:rRNA from 1 species